UUUACGGGAGGCAGCAGUGAGGAAUAUUGGGCAAUGGAGGAGACUCUGACCCAGCCAUGCCGCGUGCAGGAAGACUGCCCUAUGGGUUGUAAACUGCUUUUAUACAGGAAGAAACACUGGUAUGUAUACCAGCUUGACGGUACUGUAAGAAUAAGCACCGGCUAACUCCGUGCCAGCAGCCGCGGUAAU
rnacentral:rRNA from 1 species